rnacentral:rRNA from 1 species
GAUGAACGCUGGCGGUAUGCUUAACACAUGCAAGUCGAACGGAGUACUUCGGUACUUAGUGGCGGACGGGUGAGUAACGCGUGAGAAUCUGCCUUCAGGUUCGGGACAACCACUGGAAACGGUGGCUAAUACCGAAUGUGCAGUGAUGUGAAAUAUUUAUAGCCUGAAGAUGAGCUCGCGUCUGAUUAGCUAGUAGGUGUGGUAAGAGCGCACCUAGGCGACGAUCAGUAGCUGGUCUGAGAGGAUGAUCAGCCACACUGGGACUGAGACACGGCCCAGACUCCUACGGGAGGCAGCAGUGGGGAAUUUUCCGCAAUGGGGAAAGC